rnacentral:rRNA from 1 species
GACGAACGCUGGGGGCGUGCUUAACACAUGCAAGUCGAACGAUGAGGCACCAGCUUGCUGGUGUGGAUUAGUGGCGAACGGGUGAGUAACACGUGAGUAACCUGCCCCUCACUCUGGGAUAAGCCUGGGAAACUGGGUCUAAUACUGGAUACGACCGAUCUCCGCAUGGAGUGUUGGUGGAAAGUUUUUGUGGUGGGGGAUGGACUCGCGGCCUAUCAGCUUGUUGGUGGGGUAGUGGCCUACCAAGGCGACGACGGGUAGCCGGCCUGAGAGGGCGACCGGCCACACUGGGACUGAGACACGGCCCAGACUCCUACGGGAGGCAGCAGUGGGGAAUAUUGCACAAUGGGCGAAAGCCUGAUGCAGCGACGCCGCGUGAGGGAUGACGGCCUUCGGGUUGUAAACCUCUUUCACCAGGGACGAAGCUAACGUGACGGUACCUGGAGAAGAAGCACCGGCUAACUACGUG